rnacentral:rRNA from 1 species
GAUGAACGCUGGCGGCGUGCCUAAUACAUGCGAGUCGAGCGAACAGACGAGGAGCUUGCUCCUUCGACGUUAGCGGCGGACGGGUGAGUAACACGUAGGUAACCUACCUAUAAGACUGGGAUAACUUCGGGAAACCGGAGCUAAUACCGGAUAAUAUUUCGAACCGCAUGGUUCGAUAGUGAAAGAUGGCUUUGCUAUCACUUAUAGAUGGACCUGCGCCGUAUUAGCUAGUUGGUAAGGUAACGGCUUACCAAGGCAACGAUACGUAGCCGACCUGAGAGGGUGAUCGGCCACACUGUAACUGAGACACGGUCCAGACUCCUACGGGAGGCAGCAGUAGGGAAUCUUCCGCAAUGGGCGAAAGCCUGACGGAGCAACGCCGCGUGAGUGAUGAAGGUCUUCGGAUCGUAAAGCUCUGUUAUUAGGGAAGAACAAACGUGUAAGUAACUGUGCACGUCUUGACGGUACCUAAUCAGAAAGCCACGGCUAACUACGUG